UGUACAGACCACACAUAUACAAUUUUAGGGCAAAUCAUUUCGGCCUCCCAAAUCGCCUCCAUCUCUAUUCUGGUUCCCAACUCUAAACUUGCCCUCUCUCUGUCUAUGCGACUGCAAACUACAAAAUCUACAAAAAUCAGAUCAUCCUCCCAAAUCGCCUCCAUCUCAAUUCUCGUUCUCAACUCUGAACUUGCCCUCUCCCUGUCUCUGUGACCGCAAACUACAAAAUCUGCAAGAAUCAGAUGAGCCUCCGAAAUCGCCUCCAUCUCUAUUCUCGUUCUCAACUCUGAACUUGCCCUCUCUUUGUCUCUGCAACUGCAAACUGCAAAAUCUACAAGAAUCAGAACCCAUAUCGGCAUAUCAUUUCAGAUUGUUCAAAAUAUCGAAACCCAUAUCCUUCAGCUUUCAUCGCCCACUGUUCCAGUUCGGGUUCGCCAUUCGCAAGCUUCAGCCGCUGGCCGGCCGUCUCUCAACUCUCAAGCCCUCUCUCUAACUUGAUCUAUUUUAACCAGCUGAUUAGGAGUAGAACAAAAUCAUUACUUUUGAAGUAAGAUUAGGAGCAUAGUUCUGGUUCUCAAUCUUCAUCUCUGGUAGGUAAUCUCUAUCAUACUUAAGAGAAAUGUUGUUAUAAAGACAAAUUGCAUCAAAUAAAUGGAAUGCUGCGAAGAAAAUUAUUGUUUUAGGGAGUCUACCAAUGCUUAAAGUGAGACUAAGUAUGGAAAGUCGAAAAGAUAAAUUGUUAAGGCUUUGGAGCAGUAUGAGUAAACGACACAAAUGUAUAAAACUAUCACGGACGAGCUUGACAUAGCCUAAUUCCCUGAGCAAAGUGAUAUCUUUAGUAGUUCAUUCAUAUUUUGUUUUCUUAUGGACAUGUUAGUUCUUUUAUAGUUUAUUAGUUGGUUUUUAAUGGACACACAAUUGGUAGAUGUAAUGGAAAUGUCAUACAUGGAUGUAUUUAAUAGUUUUUUUUUCAUAGAUAAGCCAUAUGGAUAUAUGUAUACAGUGUGUAAUGGAUGUAUUUUAUUUGAAAUAAUUAAUUGAAUUAUUUUUUUAGUUUUUACUA